GGGGGUUAUUCAGAUAAUUCACAGUGAGAUUACCAUGAGCUCAUUAAAGUGCACGAACCCUCUGUUGGGCUUUUUACUGCAUGAAAACAAUUGAUUACUUAAAAAACGGUCCCACCCUUUCCUAAAAGCACACGAGUGUGUAUAUAGGCUGCUACCAACAGCUCACAUACACCCUGAAUAGGAAGCACAUCUCUCUGACGGACACAAUCUUUUUUUUGAAGGAGGAUAUCGCUUGCUGGACUUACAGAAGUGCAACAAGAUCGGUCAUUGUUAUCUGUGGAGAAACAUGGGAAACGAGAACUCCAAGAACAAAGAACUGCAGAACAGGAACGGCAGGAUUCCUGAGAAGCAUAUAAAUGGAUCAGCGAACGGCCUCUCUGCGAACCUCUCAUCUAACGGCUUGGAGAUUUCUGCUAACGGUGAGGCCGCAGUCCAGAAGAAUGGCGAGUCCUCUUCUUUAAAGCGUGCGACUGAACCAAAUGAUUUUGUCGUUGUGGAAUUAGACGGUAAAGCUGCUGACGCUCCAGUUAUUUCUGAAAUCCUUGAAAUCGUCAUCCACAAGGAAGAGGUCAGGGAAAGUGAAGGAGAUCAAACGGAUGUUAGUCUCCCUGCCACCAAUCUACAGACGGAGUCAACCUCAAGUGGAGAAGAAGCAGCCGCAGCGAUGAUCGCUGUGCACCUAGACAGCGUAGAGUGUCCGCUUCGAAAAGCUGAAACAUCAACACAAACAGACGGGACAACUGAGGCAGAUAUCUCGACACAAACGUAUAAGAACGAGGAAGUCGCAACCACCGAUAACGAGGUUCCUGUUGAAGAAGCAGUCUCCAUGGAGACUGGAUCAACUGAAGAAGACCCUCUAAAUGUGUCGGCCCGCGUCAUUGUUCAGGAUGACGGGGAGUCCUCCGACAACCAGGCCGCUCGGACCAUCAAUGAGGGGGUGGUCAUGUAUGAAAAUAUGGUGUUCAGACUGGAACGGGCAGAACUUGAUGGAACUGAGUCAAACAUCACUGCAGAACCAGGUUUUAACCCAAAAGUAUCCGAGAUUGAAGAGGAAACAGUUGCAGAGGAAAAUAACAUUGGAGAAACAUCGGCAUCGGAGGUCUAUUACAGCUUUCCUAAAGUGGUGGCAGAUUGUGUUGAGGUGGUUUUUGCGGAUGCGCCUCAGUCCACCGGCUUUGCUGCUGUGGACUCGUCAGUGCUUGCAGACGGAGUAGCUACUGGAGACAAUGGCGAAGGAGCUGGACACACGUCAGUCGAUGCCGUGCAGACUGAAACCGCCAAACAUCAGUCCACUGAGGCCCGGAAAGCAAAUGCCGUUCGUUCCUCAGCCACCGCGCUGAUGGAGACAAUCUCUGAGGUUGUUUGCGAGGCACCUGAUCCCGCACCAGCAGACCACGAUGCGCCCGCAGAGCAUUCUUCUGCCCGUCUUGCAGUAGCACUUCUAGUUAAGGCAGAAUCUGCCCAUGAGGAGGUCACCGCUGAUGAUGCUGUUGCAACGGAGAUUGUACCAGAAACACCUCAACAAGCAAAACUGGACGACGAGCCCUCAGAGAAGUGCGAUAGUUGCCCUGAGCAUGACAUCAUCACUGCAGAGGCUCCCAAUAAGCCUGCCAUCAUUGAGGAGCUUCCCGUGGAACCAGAAAGAUAUGAAGAAGCAGAACCAAGUCCCGUACUUGCCAAAGACAGUGCUGAGGCAAUGUGGGAAGCGGCAAUCAAUGCCCUCUCUGAAGACUUCAGAGAAGAAUCUAGCAGCCUGCCUCGGGAGGCUGCAGCGGCCAAAGGCUUACCUCUGAUAGAGGAGGUGAUCACCGCGUCAACUUUUGCAGGCCUUCCAGGGGGCCAAGAAGCAAGCAUUGCUGUUGCAGAGGAGCUUUUUAAGAGGGUCACUGCAGAGGCUUUAUCAAAUGCAACUGAAACAGUAGCAGAAGACGCCACAAACACUGGUGAGGAGCCUGCAGAUGUGCCGCCGAUGGACGCCACGGGAGAGCCCGAGCUUUGCGUUUCGGUCCAAGAGAGACUCAGAGACGAGAACGUCGCCCCGGCAGAAGUACCAGCCAAUUCCAGGAGUUUGAGCCAUCUCGAGCGCCGACCAAAGUCCAGCGCGCAGAUCGUCGCCAUGGAGACAAUUGAAGACGGGGCUGUGAGACAGAUAAUGCAUGAAACAGAUACUUCUGCGGUGGAUGUCUCCCAGAUUACCACUUUGGAUGAGGCUAUGUCAGAGAGUUUCGACGCUGUCCUUGAGGCCAUUGUGGAAGAAAUCAUUAACGAGGACGUCUUCUCAGCUGACGGCCGCCUCGUGACUUCAGACGAGGUGUCACCAGAGGCCUUUGUAGAGGAAGACGCUGAAGAGGAUGCAGAGAAGGAAUCAAGUGUGAACUCAUCAGAUCCAACAGUGGACUCACAAAGUGUCACAAGAACAGACAUGGAAGCUUUAGCUGUUAGUUUGCAGUCGGCGUGUAAAUCAGUUGUUGAAGAAUCGACAAAUAGGCCUGGUAGUUUAAUGCUUCCUUCACUAGGAUACAGUAUCACGGUUACUGUUCAUGUGGCGCCAAAGCAGUAAAAUCCUUGUCUGAACUUUUUUGUUGAAAAUGAUUGGUCUGCCUCCAGGAUGUAAUGUGUUAAAUGAUUGAUGCGAAAGUAAUUACAACCCAAUUGUAAAAUUAUUUGUGUUUUAUCAUAACAAGCAAGUCCCUCUGUUUUUUUAUGCUUUAUUAACACUUGCUGAUUUUCCAAUAAAAUGAAAAAUGAAACCGUUCAUGAUUUUCUUCAUCAUCUGUUUGCAUUCCUUUGGUCGGUGUCAGGUGACAAAUAAUACCUACUUUCAAAAAAGUAGGGCCACUAAUGACUUUGAAAAACAAUGAAUUAGACAUUUGAACGUUAGCAGAUUCACUAAUGAUCUUUAAAUCAGAGUUGGUCAACGAUAACCCAGCAUCAAAACCCAGCAAAGGUAUUUGCGUUUCCUGACAUUCUUUUCUCCGGGCAAAACUCUCACACAUUGUUGAAUAUCAAUGAGUGAGGGGUGGGACACACGCAUUGAUAAAAGGCCGAUUGUUGACAGUGCCCCGAGUAGGCAGAGGCAUGGUUGGAAUUGUGUACUCCCAUCUCAAUGCUGCGAUUAAGACCCUCACUGCUUGCAUUAUAAGCCACGCUGCUCUAACGCAAUACUCAAAGGCUAAUUCUUUGUGAUGGUGUAUAGGAGACAGCUAAGCAAAAGCAAGGGUCAGAAUCAUUGACGGAGCCAGAGAGUGUGACUCUAGACUCUGACGAGGGAAACCAGGAGGACAAUAACCCAGAAGAGAAUCCAGUUAUGAACUUCUUCAAAUCUCUAACGACUUCCAAAAUAACCAAAAAGGAAACAGCUGCUCCUGUUGCCAUAAAAGACCAGGUGACGCAGAUGUUUAUGAAGGAUUGUGUGAUUUUAAAUGAUUCAUUCAUUAUGACAGUACCACCAGGGGAUUUCCCAGCAGAGUUCCCAGUUAUAAGUUUCAAUAACCAGUUUUAUAUCACAAAUGUUUUUGUUAACAAAGCCAGAUCAGUGAGCUCAGUAAUGUAAUGGUUGAUUAUGUGUUGAAAUCAUUUUUUGCCACAUGCCUUGUAUGAAUUUAUGUUUGAUUUCUCUGAUGCCCAAAAACAUUUAACCAGUAGCUUCUCCAAACUAUUUAUAGGACAUUACAAGCUUUUUUGCAUGUUUUUUUUUGCAUACGUUUAACGUUAUUUCUCACUGCUUCCCUUUUUCUGUUGCAAAAUAGUCCCAGAAGGAGAACCAACCAGCAGCAACCACUACCGUGAGCUCAUUGCCCAAAUAGUGUUUUAUUUCCCUAAAAAGCAUAUGUUUGUCGGGCCAUAUUGGUUUCAGUUUAGUUUCAGAAAUUCUACUUUAUUUUCUAAUGUUGCAUACUAAUUCAAUUUGUGAUAGUUUAUGUUGGAUGAAUACUUAGUUGCUAAACCGAAUCAAUCACUGCUUUGUCAUUGUGUAACAGGCGUAUAGUGUUAAAGGUGACUCCGUGCAUUACUUUAACAACCUCUCUCUCUUGAAUAGGUCGCACAAGUAUCUGAGCCGCCUGCAGCGCCCAAAGGAAUGUCUAUCCCACCGCCACCUCCUCCAGAGCCACCAAAAAUGGAUAUCAAGGCAGAACCAGCUGCUAAACCUGUCAAGGCCACACCAAGAGAAGAAGCAAAAGCUGUUGCCAAGCAACCCCAGUCCUCCAAAGGAAAAUCAGCAACUCUAAGCAAAUUUUUCCGUUCAAAGGUAAAUUAACAGCGAAGACAAGACAAGAUGGUGUAGGUGAUUCAUGGAGACUUUCAGUGAGUCCACGGAGAAAUCUGAUUAUAACAGAAAUAUAUGUGAAUAUGAGGUACUGCUACGUGACGAGACAUGUGAGGUCCAGGGUGCUUCAGCAUGUGGAGACAAUGCCCCCUCAAGUUGCCAGCAGUGGUACAGUGUCACAUUAUUAUAUUCUCAAAGUGGCCGUGGCUCAUCCUGUUACUUACUGAACAAGAGCUGGUUUGUCUGGAAGAGGCUGAAACAGGACAACUUGCUGUUUCCAUAUCGGAACCUGCAGCGAUCGUGUCAGCUGAUAUGCACAUAGUUUUGAACCAUAUCCAGGCCAAUCAGAUUUUUGUUCUUUGCAAGUCUUUCAAAAUGUUGACUUUGCAGCCAGUUCCUCGGUCAAACGGCCUCGCCUUAGUGCAGCUGUUUCUACCACAGACCAUUUUUCCAUAAUACUUUAUGUUCCCAACAUUUAAAUUGCAUUAGUGAAUUAAUCAGUAACAUUGUGUUUCGUUUUGGGACGUACAACUAUCUGGCUUACUUGCCAAGAGUUUAGACGAGGGGAUCAAUACCACCAUCGUUUCUGUAAGCUAAGUAUGGAGUUAGAAUCGGACAAUUGGCCGAGAACAAAGGCUCUUUGUGUGCUUUGGAAGGAGCAGUACUGUCUUCCAGUAUUUAUGCUGUGCUAAGUUACGGUCAUGAGAAAGGUUUUGACCUGCCAACUUUUGGUGAAGUAUAAUAUUUUCCACAAAAAUGUCACAUUAUUCCUUUAACCAAUUCUUAUUAGUUAGCGUCCAUUGUCAGGCUAACAUUCAAAUUACAACAUGCAAACAUUUCUUUUCCUUUUCGGUUCUGUUGGCUUUUUACUAACAAUAACAUUUCCCCCACCGUCCUGCAGACAAACAAGGAGUCCCCACCAAAGCCAGACAUUGAAGUAGACGUACAACAAGUUGUAGAAGUAGAGGUAAUCCAGAGAGCAUGCCCAAUCUUCUCAGAUGUAUUCAUGGCUUGCUAAUGUGUUUAAUGCACGAGUGCAGUGGUUCUUGUUUUGAAUCAUCUUAUAAUUGGUUACAUUUGCGGUCAGAAAAUUCGGCCAGAUUAAGUACAUUUCAGCAUGUUUCCUUGUCCAUUUUACUUUGCAUCUCAGAAUAAAAAAGUAGCUUUGUUCUGCAGGAGACACCAGUGGAAGCUCCUGAGCCAGUUGUUUUAGAAGUCAAGGUAAAUCGAAGGACAGUUGUUCAUUUGGGGCUUAAGUCUUUUAUGAGGGGUAGAUUAUGUGAUUAUCUUGGCAUCACCAUGUACUACACUGCAAAAAAAAAUUGCAUUCCAUGAAAUUGACAUAUUGUUGUUCAUCUGCAUUUGCUCAGAGUGAAAAUAAUGUUGACCCCCAUGACUCAGCAGAGCAGGUGGCCCAGCCUGUUGUACAAGAGCAGGUAAAUUUCUGUUGCAUUUCAUGCACCAUGCAAAAAAGGGAAAUAAAUAAUUCCCCUUUCGUGCAGAUGGUAGCAGAUGUACCACAGCCCGUGGUAGCGGCGGAGAUAAAUCAACAGUUUGGGAUCUUCUGCUUUCAUGCUUCCUUGUCGAGAGUUAGAUGAGAAGAACGCUCUCAUCUGCCUCUGUUAAAUUUGAGGCGUCAGCUAGUAGCAGAUUAGAUUAGAUUAGUUUAGUUUAGCACAGAGGCUUAAAUGUGCCUGUCUGUUAAACAGCAUUGCUCUGUCCGAUGCUGAAAAGAUUCACUUAUUGGCAGUUUUUAAGCUAUUUUUUGUUGGAUAAACAAAUUAAAUGGUUUAUUAGUGUUAAAGAGAAACAAAUGGUAACUUUUGCAUGGAGCCCAAAGAUGGUUUUAAGCUGUUUCAAUUCCUAAUGAAACUUCAAGUCAAAAGUCUCCUGCAUCAUACAGCAUAGGAAAGAUAUUAAAAACGGUCUUCUCAUCACUUGGCAAUAAAGCAAAUUCCCUCAUUUCCCUAUGGGUCAAUCAUUCAAGGGAGGAAUCUUCAGUGGAGACAUUCACUUUACUAUUUCCUUUUAUUUCUUCCCUUGCAAGCAGUAAUAUUAUAUACCUAUGUGCAUGAUUCUGCGGAUCUCUACACUUACAGAUUCUUUCACCUCCUUUCUGCUCUGACUCUGCCUGGAAUCUCUGCCCUUACCUCUUCGUUUUUUCACAGGUGGCAAAUGCUUCCCCGUACUCCGUCCGCCUCAAUGCUGGUCCUAACGCUUCCGUACCUCAUGUGUAUUUUCUUUUCUGCUGUUUUGAUAAAAGAAGGUGGAUUCUUCAAAAGCUGGCACUUUGGAGGCUGCAGCGAAACCAGAACCGCCGCCGCCUGUGCAGGAAGCACAGAAAACUGCCUCAACAUCCUCCUUCUUUUCUCUCUUCAAGCCUAAAGUAAGGGGCUGUUCACAUCUUUAUGUUUUUUUUAUGUCUCAGUAUGAAUUGUAGAAUAAUUUAAGUACACAAAGUAAUAUAUUUAUGUGAAUUUUGAGGUCCUAUUAGACCACAUGACCACAAAAGUCCAGGCGGCCUCCACAAGUGGAGUUCGUCUCCUCGGGAGAACAACUGGAGUGGUAAAUACAGUAAAAUUGCAUCUGGAGAAUAGAUAGAUUAUUCCAGAGUAAUUUCAGCAAUUACAUCUGGUAUUGAAGUUCUCUAACUACUUUUUGUCAGAGACAUUUCCUAACCGCGCUUCUAUACACAUCGCCCGUGAUGUUCUGCUGCAUCCAAGAGCUUAACACGUUACAUCUGAUCUCAACAUGUGGAGCACUGGAAUAAAUUCAGUCCCUCAUAAUGCACCGCUUCAACACUUACAGGCCGCUGAUCCCAAAAAGGCGAGUCCUGCCCCGGCUGCAGCCCCAGAGACAGUGAAAGCCAAGGAGGAACCCAAAGCAGCAGCCAAGUUAUCCGAGGCCGUGGUAGAUAAUAAACCUGCUUCAGUGGCCUCCCAGGCCGCAGGUGAUGCAGCCAAGGCGCCAAAGAAACUGGAGAAGAGGAACUCCAUCCAUCAGUUCUUUAAAAUUCUGGGCCAGAAGCGUAACUCGACAGAUGCCGGGAUCCAGACAGAGACGCUCGCUGUCGCUCCGGUACCCGAGAAGGUCAAAUGAAACCAAAAGCGAGAGUGAAGUUUCCCUGUACAGACUCCUUCUCUUUUUCUUGCCCUUACUCGGUUUUCAUGUGCCUCAUCUGUCUCAUUAUUCUUUAAACUCUUAUAGAAUUGCUUUAACUACAUUUUGAUUUUGUUAUUGUUCAUAAGUUACAAUACGCACGGAAUAGUGAGCGGAAAGGCAAAGGCAAGUAGUGAGAAAGACACACAGCAGGUAGUUGCACAAGUGGUGAUUUGAAAUGGUCCAUGGUGAGGUUGUUGAGAUAUUUACAGUAUAUACAGUACAUAUUGUGUUUGGACCCUGUGCCUUGACAAGUAUAGCAAAAUCAGUGUGAAAUCUUUUCUACAGACAUUUAAUGUAACUUCUCUCUGUUCUUGCACAUGAAACAGAAGGUAAAAGGCAUCGCUUUUAGCUUUGUGUUUGUCAAAAAAAAACAUUUAAAAAAGGUUCUAUUUUUUACAGUUCACACAAAAGAAAAUCACGCAGCUGUGGCCGUGCAGAGGUUCCCACGAAAUUGCAUCGCACUUAAAUCCAUAUGUGAUAUAUUAACAUUAACAGCUCUGAAAAGAGCAAAUAAGAAGAGCAUCUUAGUGUAACAAGAAGCACUUAGCAGUCAAGUAUCUGUAUCGAGGGUGAUGGGGAACUGGCUAUAUGCGUAAAAAAAUGCAUCUGAGAGAUGUGUCUUUGUGCUACGUUUUUACUAAUGACUCACAGUUGAUUAGUUUUACAUUUGAACUUUGUCUCAUGUAACUCAGUGGAAGUCUUGUAGCGUCAGUCAGCAAUUAACAUCACGCUUUUGGUGGCCUUGCUUGAUGUAUGCAUGUGUGUGCGUGUGUGUAACUUCAGCUAUCCUGAAGACAAUAAACCUGUUUAUCAUUCGUUGUAUCUUCAUGUGUGUACGCGGCAACUGAGAAACCCCGUGAAGAAUAACCGGCUGUUGCAUUCGGCAUCUGCCAAAAUAUGCACCUCAGUAAGUUUGGCAAAAAAAAAUAAAAAAUCACACAUCAAAUCUUAUAAUAAAUAUUUUAAUUCACACUAAACUAAACUCAUAAGGCGUGACACAUGAGUCCUACCUUGGGCGUCGGUGGAAAUACUGCCAGCCUUACUCACCCAUGGGUUUAUUUUGUUGGCUGAAAAACAAGUGACGGUGAUGACGGGCAGGGCCGUACAAACCAAAACUCACCUCAGAGCCGCCCGCCGUCCGCCCGCCCGCCUGAUGGACGGAGAGCCGUCUGCGGUCCGUCACUACCAAAUAUUACAUUCAGAGACACCUUAGAGAUAAAAAGAUGUUAAACGAGAUCUAAGGAAUUGUUUCAGGUAAAGCAAAGCCUCCCAUACUCUAUUUUCAUUUAUGAGGUAAUUCCAAUGAUGGAGGAUGUGUUUUAAAUAGUAUUAUGUCAUGAGUCGCGGCCCCCUUAAAGGCAUAACUCACGCUGCACCUUUAUUAUCAACGAAACGCACUCUUUUUGCGUUACCCUCUGUGAUGGUUGUGAUCAUUUUAAAUUGUGCAUCAAAGUAAUUGACAUGGCACUUAAGGGGAAACAGUGAGGUAUUGCCUGCACAGUUUAAUCCAUGUGGUCAAGUCCUCUCCUCUGGGGAUUGUUAAGAGGAAUAUGUGACUCUUUGCCAACUGUAUUGCUGUACAGUGUGAAGUUCACCACUAACUACCAUUCUCCUAAAAUAAAACACUGGACAGUACCCACAGUGCA
ensembl:lncRNA